rnacentral:rRNA from 1 species
GAUGAACGCUGGCGGCGUGCCUAAUACAUGCAAGUCGAGCGAACAGACGAGGAGCUUGCUCCUCUGACGUUAGCGGCGGACGGGUGAGUAACACGUGGAUAACCUACCUAUAAGACUGGGAUAACUUCGGGAAACCGGAGCUAAUACCGGAUAAUAUAUUGAACCGCAUGGUUCAAUAGUGAAAGACGGUUUUGCUGUCACUUAUAGAUGGAUCCGCGCCGCAUUAGCUAGUUGGUAAGGUAACGGCUUACCAAGGCAACGAUGCGUAGCCGACCUGAGAGGGUGAUCGGACAAACUGGAACUGAGGGACGGUCCAGACUCCUACGGGAGACAGCAGUGGGGAAUCUUCCGCAAUGGGCGAAAGCUUGACGGAGCAACGCCGCGUGAGUGAUGAAGGUCUUCGGAUCGUAAAACUCUGUUAUUAGGGAAGAACAAAUGUGUAAGUAACUAUGCACGUCUUGACGGUACCUAAUCAGAAAGCCACGGCUAACUACGUG